rnacentral:rRNA from 1 species
AUUGAACGCUGGCGGCAGGCCUAACACAUGCAAGUCGAACGGUAACAGGAAACAGCUUGCUGUUUCGCUGACGAGUGGCGGACGGGUGAGUAAUGUCUGGGAAACUGCCUGAUGGAGGGGGAUAACUACUGGAAACGGUAGCUAAUACCGCAUAACGUCGCAAGACCAAAGAGGGGGACCUUCGGGCCUCUUGCCAUCGGAUGUGCCCAGAUGGGAUUAGCUAGUAGGUGGGGUAACGGCUCACCUAGGCGACGAUCCCUAGCUGGUCUGAGAGGAUGACCAGCCACACUGGAACUGAGACACGGUCCAGACUCCUACGGGAGGCAGCAGUGGGGAAUAUUGCACGAUGGGCGCAAGCCUGAUGCAGCCAUGCCGCGUGUAUGAAGAAGGCCUUCGGGUUGUAAAGUACUUUCAGCGGGGAGGAAGGUAGUAAAGUUAAUACCUGUACUCAUUGACGUUACCCGCAGAAGAAGCACCGGCUAACUCCGUG